GGAAGGCACGAAAAUAGUCGAUCGUACAUUCCGAUCCACAGCCUUACCAAUGUUAGAAAUGUGUCAUAUCCAGAACACCUCACACACAGUAAAUUUCCGCACAGAUGUAGAUAGCUUGCACACUACUUACGCAGGGAUUCUACACACAGUGAAAAGCACACUUACUGGACGAAAACAAUCCCGCCGUAAUACACAGCAUUUAGCAGUCGACAGUACCAAUCAUACCGAAUAGCCGAUCAAACGAUAGCCGCCAUGAUUCAAACCUACAGUUAAUGUUAGAUAGAUGUAUGUCGCUCGCUGUUAUCUGUAGUGUGCAGUGCAAGUUGUCCCAAAAAGUACAAGAAAAAUUUAUGUGUUUUAUGUUAAAUGGCAUUACAAGAAGCUCCAACUCUCAAACUGCAUUCAAAAACCACAUAACGAGAGACGGUUGACUGCUUAUCCCUUGAAAAAGGUCCAAUACACGGGACCGAAACGUCGGGCUAUGCCAAACUAGCCGUUUCAAUGCUCUUAGACUGAGAAAGCCACAACAGUUCAACAUUUCCUUCCAGUCGUAUACCUCCUCCA